GCGCUCUUAGUUCAGUUCGGUAGAACGCAGGUCUCCAAAACCCGAUGUCAUAGGUUCAAAUCCAACAGAGCGUG
rfam:Oryza meridionalis cultivar OR44 (W2112) chromosome 1, whole genome shotgun sequence.